UUGGCAUCAGCCAUGGAGAUGCAGAGUUUGGAGUUUGCCCAGAUGGUUUCCUGUCUUUCAUUGGGGAUUAUAGUUAAGUGACUGGAUGAAUCUCAGAAGAGACCUUGAACUUUGGACUUUUAACAUUGUUGAGACUGCUAUAGACUAUGAGGACUUUGAAAGAUGGACUAAAUGUGUUUUGCAUUAUGCUAUGUUUAAGUAUGCCCCCCCUCCCAAUAGACUCAUGUGUUUGACCAAAUCUUUGGGGGCAAGGGAGUGGAAUGUGAUGGUUUGUAUAUUCUUGGACCAGGGAGUAGCACCAUUUGGAGAUAGGUGGACCUGGUUAGAGUAGAUGUGUCACUGUGGGUGUGGGCUUAAGACCCUCAUCCUAGGUGCCUGGAAGUCAGUCUUCCACUAGCAGCCUUUUGGAUGAAAAUGUAGAACUCUCACCUCUGCCUGUAUCAUGACUGCCUGGAUGCUGCCAUGGUCCCACCUUGAUGUUAAUGGACUGAAACUUUGAACCUGUAAGCCAGCCCCAAUUAAAUGUUAUUUUAUAUAAGACUUGUUUUGGUAGUGGUGUCUGUUCACAGCAGUAAAACCCUGACUAAGACAGAAGUAUCCAGGACUCACUGCGGUAGGUGAACUGUGUUCUGAUGUUGCCAAGUAGCCU
rnacentral:lncRNA from 1 species